rnacentral:lncRNA from 1 species
CUCACCACGUCUCUCCCGUUUGCAGGGUCAUCGAGCAGCUCGGUGGGAAGCAGCUGGUCAUGAACCACAUGCAUCAUGAAGACCAGCAGGUCCGCUAUAAUGCUCUGCUGGCCGUGCAGAAGCUCAUGGUGCACAACUGGGAAUACCUUGGCAAGCAGCUCCAGUCCGAGCAGCCCCAGACCGCUGCCGCCCGAAGCUAAGCCUGCCUCUGGCCUUCCCCUCCGCCUCAAUGCAGAACCAGUAGUGGGAGCACUGUGUUUAGAGUUAAGAGUGAACACUGUUUGAUUUUACUUGGAAUUUCCUCUGUUAUAUAGCUUUUCCCAAUGCUAAUUUCCAAACAACAACAACAAAAUAACAUGUUUGCCUGUUAAGUUGUAUAAAAGUAGGUGAUUCUGUAUUUAAAGAAAAUAUUACUGUUACAUAUACUGCUUGCAAUUUCUGUAUUUAUUGUUCUCUGGAAAUAAAUAUAGUUAUUAAAGGAUUCUCACUCCAAA